rnacentral:rRNA from 1 species
AUUGAACGCUGGCGGCAGGCUUAACACAUGCAAGUCGAGCGGGGUGAUGGUGCUUGCACUAUCACUUAGCGGCGGACGGGUGAGUAAUGCUUAGGAAUCUGCCUAUUAGUGGGGGACAACACCUCGAAAGGGAUGCUAAUACCGCAUACGUCCUACGAGAGAAAGCAGGGGAUCACUUGCGACCUUGCGCUAAUAGAUGAGCCUAAGUCGGAUUAGCUAGUUGGUGGGGUAAAGGCCUACCAAGGCGACGAUCUGUAGCGGGUCUGAGAGGAUGAUCCGCCACACUGGGACUGAGACACGGCCCAGACUCCUACGGGAGGCAGCAGUGGGGAAUAUUGGACAAUGGGGGGAACCCUGAUCCAGCCAUGCCGCGUGUGUGAAGAAGGCCUUAUGGUUGUAAAGCACUUUAAGCGAGGAGGAGGCUCUUUUGGUUAAUACCCAAGAUGAGUGGACGUUACUCGCAGAAUAAGCACCGGCUAACUCUGUGCCAGCCGCCGCCGUAA